UACAGAGGGUGCAAGCGUUAAUCGGAUUUACUGGGCGUAAAGCGCGCGUAGGCGGCUAAUUAAGUCAAAUGUGAAAUCCCCGAGCUUAACUUGGGAAUUGCAUUCGAUACUGGUUAGCUAGAGUGUGGGAGAGGAUGGUAGAAUUCCAGGUGUAGCGGUGAAAUGCGUAGAGAUCUGGAGGAAUACCGAUGGCGAAGGCAGCCAUCUGGCCUAACACUGACGCUGAGGUGCGAAAGCAUGGGGAGCAAACAGGAUUAGAUACCCUGGUAGUCCAUGCCGUAAACGAUGUCUACUAGCCGUUGGAGCCUUUGAGGCUUUAGUGGCGCAGCUAACGCGAUAAGUAGACCGCCUGGGGAGUACGGUCGCAAGACUAAAACUC
rnacentral:rRNA from 1 species